rnacentral:rRNA from 1 species
GCGUAACACGUAUGUAACCUACCCAUAUCAGGGGGAUAGCCUCUCGAAAGAGAGAUUAAGCCCGCAUAAAAUCACAGGAUAGCAUUAUCUAAUGAUCAAAUAUUUAUAGGAUAUGGAUGGGCAUGCGGAACAUUAGCUAGUUGGAGAGGUAACGGCUCACCAAGGCAACGAUGUUUAGGGGAUCUGAGAGGAUGACCCCCCACACUGGUACUGAGACACGGACCAGACUCCUACGGGAGGCAGCAGUAAGGAAUAUUGGUCAAUGGGCGGAAGCCUGAACCAGCCAUGCCGCGUGCAGGAAGACGGCCCUACGGGUUGUAAACUGCUUUUAUACCGGAAUAAACCUCUUUACGUGUAAGGAGCUGAAUGUACGGUAAGAAUAAGGAUCGGCUAACUCCGUGCCAGCAGCCGCGGUAAUACGGAGGAUCCAAGCGUUAUCCGGAUUUAUUGGGUUUAAAGGGUGCGUAGGCGGUUCUUUAAGUCAGGGGUGAAAGACGGCAGCUUAACUGUCGCAGUGCCUUUGAUACUGAAGAACUUGAAUCCACUUGAGGUAGGCGGAAUGUGACAAGUAGCGGUGAAAUGCAUAGAUAUGUCACAGAACACCAAUUGCGAAGGCAGCUUACUAAAGUGGUAUUGACGCUGAGGCACGAAAGCGUGGGGAUCAAACAGGAUUAGAUACCCUGGUAGUCCACGCCCUAAACGAUGAACACUCGAUGUUGGCGAUAUACGGUCAGCGUCUAAGCGAAAGCGUUAAGUGUUCCACCUGGGGAGUA